AGUGAACGCUGGCGGUAGGCCUAACACAUGCAAGUCGAACGGCAGCACAGUAAGAGCUUGCCCUUACGGGUGGCGAGUGGCGGACGGGUGAGGCAUACAUCGGAUUCUACUUUUUCGUGGGGGAUAACGUAGGGACACUUACGCUAAUACCGCAUACGACCUACGGGUGAAAGCAGGGGAUCUUCGGACCUUGCGCGAUUGAAUGAGCCGAUGUCGGAUUAGCUAGUUGGCGGGGUAAAGGCCCACCAAGGCGACGAUCCGUAGCUGGUCUGAGAGGAUGAUCAGCCACACUGGAACUGAGACACGGUCCAGACUCCUACGGGAGGCAGCAGUGGGGAAUAUUGGACAAUGGGCGCAAGCCUGAUCCAGCCAUACCGCGUGGGUGAAGAAGGCCUUCGGGUUGUAAAGCCCUUUUGUUGGGAAAGAAAAGCAGCAGGUUAAUACCCCGCUGUUCUGACGGUACCCAAAGAAUAAGCACCGGCUAACUUCGUG
rnacentral:rRNA from 1 species